AAUUAACGCUGGCAGAGUGCAUAACACAUGCAAGUCGAGCGAGGUGGCGGCGUAUCGCGCCUAGCGGCAGACGAGUGAGUAACACGUAAACAAUCUACCCUUGAAUGGCGAACAACCAAUCGAAAGGCUGGCUAAUACGCCGUACUCUCCCUUGAAGGCAUCUUUAGGGGAGGAUAGAUCCGCAAGGAUCGUUCUUGGAGGAGUUUGCGGCCCACCAGCUAGUGGCGGUGUAAUAGACCACCAAGGCUACGACGGGUACCCGGCCUGAAAGGGCGGACGGGCACGAUGGCACUGAGACACGGGCCAUACUCCUACGGGAGGCAGCAGUGGGGAAUCUUGCGCAAUGGGCGAAAGCCUGACGCAGCGACGCCGCGUGAGGGAUGACGGCCU
rnacentral:rRNA from 1 species